rnacentral:misc_RNA from 1 species
GGGAAGGUUAUGUUUUGUGGAGGGUGGCAACUCGUAGGGUUUGAAGGGACUCAACUUAAUCCAGAAGGCACGAGGGAGUUGCCAAACAGUCGAUUGCCUCUCCCCCUGGCUACCGAUGCUAGACUACAAGUUUCUGUUCACCACCACGGUUCUGAGCUCUCCUUUCAUUGCUCCUGGGUCUUAGUAGCUUGCUUGACAACUAGGGAGCACUUUUGUGGGAAACCUUUUCUCAGUAGGCUUUGUCCGUUUUCCGUUCCUUUGUGCCUUCUCUUGCCUUAGUUUUCAUCGGUUGGAUCUAUGUGGGUGAUGGUUGGGAUGGCAGCGCUUCUCG